AUUGAACGCUGGCGGCAUGCUUUACACAUGCAAGUCGAACGGCAGCACGGGCUUCGGCCUGGUGGCGAGUGGCGAACGGGUGAGUAAUACAUCGGAACGUACCCAGAAGUGGGGGAUAACGCAGCGAAAGUUGCGCUAAUACCGCAUACGUUCUACGGAAGAAAGUGGGGGAUCUUCGGACCUCAUGCUUUUGGAGCGGCCGAUGUCUGAUUAGCUAGUUGGUGGGGUAAAGGCUCACCAAGGCGACGAUCAGUAGCUGGUCUGAGAGGACGACCAGCCACACUGGAACUGAGACACGGUCCAGACUCCUACGGGAGGCAGCGGUGGGGAAUUUUGGACAAUGGGCGAAAGCCUGAUCCAGCAAUGCCGCGUGAGUGAAGAAGGCCUUCGGGUUGUAAAGCUCUUUUGUCAGGGAAGAAACGGCUCCGGCUAAUAUCUGGGGCUAAUGACGGUACCUGAAGAAUAAGCACCGGCUAACUACGUGCCAGCAGCCGCCGUAAGAC
rnacentral:rRNA from 1 species